UUAGCCGAAUCGUGACGCAAAACACGGCUUGUCUCGAAUCCCGCUAAAAUAAGGGUGUCUAUCCCGAAUCCCGACAGUUAUUUUCGGCCCAUCCCAGUGUCCCGAAAAUACCCGUUCUCCCCCUCAUACAUAGUAGACCAUAUUGUCACAUUGAUGUUUUCUUUCAUUUAUACAGUUAGACUUCCGAGAUCUACAUUUUCGACAAAGGCCUGGUGUAAUAUUACGUACUUGAUGAAGGUUUAAUGACACGAAUGAGUACAAGUACAUUACAUUUUUCGACGAAGGCCUUCUGUAAUUUCAUACGCUUCUUACGCAACAUUCAAUAGAUUUAUUUACUGUAUUAUCAUUUCGACCAAGGCGAAUUCGACACUUCAAUUACACAAGCACAAUCAAACUUAGUCAUUCCAGUCAGUUACUGAAGCACAGCGAAAACUGUCUGAAUUAGUGCUGCUGAUGGCAUGUAAUUACUCUACUACCACUACCAGUGACAGUCAAUGUCCAUAUAUUUUCAAGUGUGCGAAAUUAGUACUCGUCUACUUCUUAGUGUUAUUUGAAUGCAAUGUAUGUUAUAAAAAUAUUUUUUUGACACUAUAUCAACAUUCUCAUUCCUGUCAGUUUCUGAAAAUCAGCUAAAGCAAUCGCUACCAAUGCAGCUGAUAACAGCAAUUCUUUUUGUUCCCAAUGCCCAUCCAUGACAAUAUAUUUCACGCAUGUGACAGUCAUGUAAUCAUCCUGUUUUUUGUGUUCUAUUCAUGCAAUAAAUAAAUUCAGUUUUUUCAAAUCAUUGGUGCUACAAAACUAUUCUCAUUAUAGAUUAUUCAUAUUUUAUAAAAUGCUGUCAUGUCAAAUUUUGUGUCCUAUAAAUCAUUAUGAAGUCGGCAUUUUAUAUACAACUUUUGUACUCCUCCUAAAUAAACAUACAAAUCUUGUUUUAUGUAAACUUUGUAUAUGUGACCCGUUACAGCAAAACCAGGCACAUGUCGCUCUGAGCUUGGCAGGUUGAGACGGACUGUUUGUUCAUUUAUCUAUUGUCUGCCUUUUGUAAAAUAUGAGCACAUCAAUUUCUUCCAUUAUCUCCUGGUGUCAUUUAGGCUCAUCUUCUGUGCGACAUGUACCUGGUUUUGCUGUGACGGGUCACAUAUUCUAUAGAUAUAUACAACACUCUAAUGUCACAAUGCCUCUCUCACUCGCUUUUAUAUAGCAAGAUGUAUGAAUAAACAUGACACACCAACUAUGUACAAAAUUGCUAACAAACUGCACCAUUUGUCAGUACACCACAUGAAAUACAGAGAUAUGUCUUAAUUCUAAUCUUUCAUUAGCGGCACCAUUUCUUACCCGAGUGCCUCCUUCAUUCAUACAUCUUGUACUUUGACAUUUAACUCAAGAUACCCAUCUUUGAAUAUUUUUAGUAUACCAAGUACCGGUACUACAAUGUCAAUGUAUUGAAGUCAUGUUCUUGUAGUGUUAUUGGCUUUCAAUUAUCUUGUCAAAAUACCACUUGGUUCUUGCAAAAUCUCAAUAAAAACAAAUGCUAUUGCAUGUAUUGCAUAUUCUAACAGCUAUCCACUGUAUCGAUUUAUCCAUCAUCUGUACUAUUUGUCACAAAAAUGUUAUAUUAUGUAAAUCAUAUUUCAUUACAUAAUGCACACUGCCAAUUACUGCUGAACCAUUCAUAUGUCAUUUAAAUAAAUAAUUUUCAACUUUUUAAAACCGUCUUAUAGUACUGUUCUUGUCACUUAGCUGAACCAAUUGCUCUAUAGCAUGAAAUUUCCAGAAAUGCCCCAGGGACUGAAAAGUGCUGUUUUAACAGAGAGGUGUCCUAAUCUGAGAAGUCGAGUUGAAUGGAAACAACCAAUUUGGAACCAAAAACUACUGUCCUUAUUAAAGAGGUUGUCCUCAAUAGAAAG